rnacentral:rRNA from 1 species
CGUAGGGUGCAAGCGUUAAUCGGAAUUACUGGGCGUAAAGCGUGCGCAGGCGGUCUUGCAAGACAGAUGUGAAAUCCCCGGGCUCAACCUGGGAACUGCAUUUGUGACUGCAAGGCUGGAGUGCGGCAGAGGGGGAUGGAAUUCCGCGUGUAGCAGUGAAAUGCGUAGAUAUGCGGAGGAACACCGAUGGCGAAGGCAAUCCCCUGGGCCUGCACUGACGCUCAUGCACGAAAGCGUGGGGAGCAAACAGGAUUAGAUACCCUGGUAGUCCACGCCCUAAACGAUGUCAACUGGUUGUUGGGAAGGUUCCUUCUCAGUAACGUAGCUAACGCGUGAAGUUGACCGCCUGGGGAGUACGGCCGCAAGGUUG